UACGUAGGCAGCGAGCGUUGUUCGGAGUUACUGGGCGUAAAGGGUGUGUAGGCGGUUGUUUAAGUUUGGUGUGAAAUCUCCCGGCUCAACUGGGAGGGUGCGCCGAAUACUGAAUGACUUCGAGUGCGGGAGAGGAGAGUGGAAUUCCUGGUGUAGCGGUGAAAUGCGUAGAUAUCUGGAGGAACACCGGUGGCGAAGGCGGCAUCCUGGACCACGACUGACGCUGAGUGAGCGAAAGCCAGGGGAGCAAACGGG
rnacentral:rRNA from 1 species